rnacentral:rRNA from 1 species
GAUUUCUGACGAAACUGCUAGCUGGCCCGCCACGUCAGUGUGUGAGUGCCGGCUUGGCGUUUGUCAUCCGUUCGAAUGAUAUGCAUGCUGCCCUUCACUGGGUUGGCAUCGCAUGUUUUCGAUCUUUUACUUUGAAAAAAUUAGAGUGUUUCAAGCAGGCGUUUUGCUAUGAAUACAUUAGCAUGGAAUAAUGAGUUAGGACUUCGGUUCUAUUUUGUUGGUUUCUAGGACUGAAGUAAUGAUUGAUAGGGAUAGUUGGGGGUGCUAGUAUUCAGCGGCCAGAGGUGAAAUUCUUGGAUUCGCUGAAGACUAACUUAUGCGAAAGCAUU